AGUGAACGCUGGCGGUAGGCCUAACACAUGCAAGUCGAACGGCAACACAGGAGAGCUUGCUCUCUGGGUGGCGAGUGGCGGACGGGUGAGGAAUACAUCGGAAUCUACUUUUUCGUGGGGGAUAACGUAGGGAAACUUACGCUAAUACCGCAUACGACCUACGGGUGAAAGCAGGGGACCUUCCGGCCUUGCGCGAUUGAAUGAGCCGAUGUCGGAUUAGCUAGUUGGCGGGGUAAAGGCCCACCAGGGCGACGAUCCGUAGCUGGUCUGAGAGGAUGAUCAGCCACACUGGAACUGAGACACGGUCCAGACUCCUACGGGAGGCAGCAGUGGGGAAUAUUGGACAAUGGGCGCAAGCCUGAUCCAGCCAUACCGCGUGGGUGAAGAAGGCCUUCGGGUUGUAAAGCCCUUUUGUUGGGAAAGAAAUCCAGCUGGCUAAUACCCGGUUGGGAUGACGGUACCCAAAGAAUAAGCACCGGCUAACUUCGUGCCAGCAGCCGCCGCCG
rnacentral:rRNA from 1 species